GUGCUCACUUCAGCAGCACAUAUACUAAAA
rnacentral:snRNA from 1 species